rnacentral:lncRNA from 1 species
AUGAAAUCAUUCUCAAAAGAAAUGUAUAACAAUUGUAAUUUUUCUCUUCCUAUGUCUUGCUGCAACAGGUCAACCAUCAACAAGGACUUACUCCAAGAUAUAACAGACAGACUUCAGUGUGGAGUUUAGAAAAAGAUGGAGGUCCUUGCAGCUCUCCUGAAGGUCUCAGUGAUGGUGAUGAGGUGCUGAUGAUAAUGGCCCACGUGUACUAACAGAAAGACUGGAGCUUGACAGAUAAAAUGUACUGUGGAAAGGACUAGAUGUGUUUAAUUUAUUUUCAAUUACAGUACUAGUCUAUGGCUUUCAAAACCUAGCUAGACAGCAUUCUGGGCACCUAUUAAGCAUCUAUUUGCAUUAUUACAAGUCUAUAAUACCAGAAAACGCUUUCUAGUUACAAGACAGCUCACUAGAUUUAAGCCUAUACGUUCUCAAAUGUUACUAAAGAUCAUCCUGUGAGAGAGACUGAGAGACUUGAUGAUGAGACAUCAUUUACACCAUUGUGCAGUUCCAAAUCUGUAUGACUUUCUUUCUUCUGUGUAACACAAAAGGAGAAGCAUCUAUUUGCAUUAUUACAAGUCUAUAAUACCAGAAAACGCUUUCUAGUUACAAGACAGCUCACUAGAUUUAAGCCUAUACGUUCUCAAAUGUUACUAAAGAUCAUCCUGUGAGAGAGACUGAGAGACUUGAUGAUGAGACAUCAUUUACACCAUUGUGCAGUUCCAAAUCUGUAUGACUUUCUUUCUUCUGUGUAACACAAAAGGAGAUGUAAGGCAGAAUAGAGCCUUACUCACCAUUUACUUUAAUGGAAGUGAAUGGAAUAGACUGCCUAACAUCUUCUUUUGUGUUGCAUAGAAAUAAAGUCGUGAAGGUUUGGAACAACAUGAGGGUGAAUAAAUGAUGAAAGAAUUCAUUUUUUGGUGAACAAUCCCUUUAACUUUUGCUCUGAUUUAAGUUUAUGUUGUGUUGAUGUAAAUGGAGAAUAACAGCUGACCAAAGGAAAGCCAUUCUAACUCAUUUAUACCCACAGACAGUUGCAGUGCACCUGUUUUCGGUGCACUUGAAUGGAAACGAAAGCCUUUAACUUGAGAUAAUAUGACAUGAUUGUAAAACACUAGUAUCUACGGCUUUAUUUAUUUUAAAAAGUAUCAUCUUAAUUGAAUCAAUAUCAUCAGCAUCAUGUAGCGUAAAAAGUAACAGACAUUUAAAAGCGCCCACGUUUGACACCGACACAUGCUCUUACCUUCAACAGCCCACACAAUCCGUAUUAUCCAUAACAAACGAAUUAUAUCCAUAAUUGCCGUGAAUUUGGGCAUUUGACUGUAAAGACCUAGAAUAUUCAUUGAAAACUUGUCCGGCAGGCCAUCUGUGGACACACUAUGAUCACAAGCACUCGAAUAAACCCCACUGGACUGGAAGAACUAAAGCAAGUUUGGACGAAACCAAUGAAAC